UACUCGAGUGGCGAACGGGUGAGUACCACGUGGGUGAUCUGCCCUGCACUUCGGGAUAAGCUUGGGAAACUGGGUCUAAUACCGGAUAGGAGCCAUCUUUAGUGUGGUGGUUGGAAAGUUUUUCGGUGUAGGAUGAGCUCGCGGCCUAUCAGCUUGUUGGUGGGGUAAUGGCCUACCAAGGCGGCGACGGGUAGCCGGCCUGAGAGGGUGUACGGCCACAUUGGGACUGAGAUACGGCCCAG
rnacentral:rRNA from 1 species